UAUAAAUACAUAUAACGUGCAAAAGGUGUGCAUUAAAAACAAAAAGCAGCAUGUGCAUGGACUUAUGCUGGUGUCUUUCUAUUGAUGCCAUCUCUAAUCUUCUCUGCUUUAGUUUCAGGUUUUUCUGACAACAUGCUAUCAACAGCAUCAAAUGACCCAGUCUAUGAACAUGUUGCUGAAGCCAAAGCACAACGAGACAUUUACGCUAAAGUCAUAAAAAGCAAGAGAAGAAGAGAGCGUCCUGAGUCGACCAUGAAUGACGUGAUGUACUCUGUCGUCUCCGUCACAAAUAAGAAGACAGUGAGAGGAGAGGUCAACAAACCAGAAACAAACGAAGUAGUGUACGCUUCAGUCUCACAAUGACCAGAGUGACAGGAAACCGACUGAAGGAGACUCGACAAACCGCGUAUGAAUCAAUUCUCUCCCUUUGUUU